GCUCUGAGACCCCGCCUCACGGGGGGUGCCUCCCCCCCUGUGAUGGGGGUCCUAAGAGCCAGGAGCAGAAGAGGGGCUGGCUCUCUGUACCCGCCUCGCGGGGGGUGCCUCUCCCCCCCCGUGAUGGGGGUCCUAAGAGCCAGAAGGCUUAGAGGGGCUGGCUCUCAGUCCCCGCCUCGUGGGGGGUGCCUCCUCCCCCUGCGACGGGGGUCCUAAAUGCCAGUGGGGAAAGAGGGGCUCGCUCUGAGACCCCGCCUCGCUGGGGGUGCCUCCCCCCACUGCGAUGGGGGUCCUAAGGGCCAGUGGGGAAAGAGGGGCUGGCUCUCAGUCCCCGCCUCGUGGGGGGUGCCUCCUCCCCCUGCGACGGGGGUCCUAAAUGCCAGUGGGGAAAGAGGGGCUGGCUCUGAGACCCCGCCUCGCUGGGGGUGCCUCCUCCCCCUGCGAUGGGGGUCCUAAGAGCCAGGGGGGGAAGAGGGGCUGGCUCUCAGUCCCCGCCGCGCGGGGGGUGCCUCCCCCCCUCGUGAUACGGAUCCGAAGAGCCAGGGGGGGAACAGGGGGAGAGGAUGAUAAUUUCAGCAUCGCAGGCUGUGUUCACCCAGCCUGUUAAAUUGUUAUUAGUAUCCUGAAAGGGAGAGGAUGAUAUUACUCCCCAUAACAGACAGAUAUGACUCCCCAUCGUAGAGCACGAGGUGUACACCCGCCCUGUGAUUUUCUUCCUCAUAUUCAGAGACCGAGAGGUUGAUGUCACUCCCAAUAUCGGAGGAAGUAUACACCCCCGUGUGAGAUGUUCCUUAAUGAUAUUCCACGGCGGAGGGGGUGAUAUGACUACAUUCAUGGCAGAAAGUGGAAACCCCCCAGGGAUAUUAUUCCCACGAUCCUGGAGGGAAGAAGAUGAUGUUACUUUCAAUAUGACAGAAGGUGGAUGAAGUGGUGGACUGCCCCUCCACACCUGUGGACACGCCCCCACUGAUAUUCCCUCUAAUUGCAGCGUGGGAGAGGAGGAUAUGACACGCCAUAUCGCAGGGAGCAGAAACACCCCUGUGAUACUGUUCUUCAUAUUCAGGGAGGAAGAGGAUGAUAUUACUCCCAAUACAGACGGGUGUACACCCUCUGUACACCGAGGGUGUACACCCGUCUGUGAAAGAGUUCGUAAUCUCCAGAGGGGGAGAUGAUAUUACUCACAAUAUGGUAAAGAGGCUGUGAGUCCACGGAGGAUCCUCAGAGCCAGCGGGGGAAGAGGGGCUGGCUCUGAGACCCCGCCUCGCUGGGGUUGCCUCCCCCCACUGCGAUGGGGGUCCUAAGAGACAGUGGGGGAAGAGGGGCUGGCUCUGAGACCCCGCCUCGCGGGGGGUGCCUCCCCCCCCUGCGAUGGGGGUCCUAAGGGCCAGUGGGGGAAGAGGGACUGGCUCUGAGACCCCGCCUCGCGGGGGGUGCCUCCCCCCCCGCGAUGGGGUUCCUAAGGGCCAGUGGGGGAAGAGGGGCUGGCUCUGAGACCCCGCCUCGCGGGGGGUGCCUCCCCCCCUGUGAUGGGGGUCCUAAGAGCCAGGAGCAGAAGAGGGGCUGGCUCUCUGUACCCGCCUCGCGGGGGGUGCCUCUCCCCCCCCGUGAUGGGGGUCCUAAGAGCCAGAAGGCUUAGAGGGGCUGGCUCUCAGUCCCCGCCUCGUGGGGGGUGCCUCCUCCCCCUGCGACGGGGGUCCUAAAUGCCAGUGGGGAAAGAGGGGCUCGCUCUGAGACCCCGCCUCGCUGGGGGUGCCUCCCCCCACUGCGAUGGGGGUCCUAAGGGCCAGUGGGGAAAGAGGGGCUGGCUCUCAGUCCCCGCCUCGUGGGGGGUGCCUCCUCCCCCUGCGACGGGGGUCCUAAAUGCCAGUGGGGAAAGAGGGGCUGGCUCUGAGACCCCGCCUCGCUGGGGGUGCCUCCUCCCCCUGCGAUGGGGGUCCUAAGAGCCAGGGGGGGAAGAGGGGCUGGCUCUCAGUCCCCGCCGCGCGGGGGGUGCCUCCCCCCCUCGUGAUACGGAUCCGAAGAGCCAGGGGGGGAACAGGGGGAGAGGAUGAUAAUUUCAGCAUCGCAGGCUGUGUUCACCCAGCCUGUUAAAUUGUUAUUAGUAUCCUGAAAGGGAGAGGAUGAUAUUACUCCCCAUAACAGACAGAUAUGACUCCCCAUCGUAGAGCACGAGGUGUACACCCGCCCUGUGAUUUUCUUCCUCAUAUUCAGAGACCGAGAGGUUGAUGUCACUCCCAAUAUCGGAGGAAGUAUACACCCCCGUGUGAGAUGUUCCUUAAUGAUAUUCCACGGCGGAGGGGGUGAUAUGACUACAUUCAUGGCAGAAAGUGGAAACCCCCCAGGGAUAUUAUUCCCACGAUCCUGGAGGGAAGAAGAUGAUGUUACUUUCAAUAUGACAGAAGGUGGAUGAAGUGGUGGACUGCCCCUCCACACCUGUGGACACGCCCCCACUGAUAUUCCCUCUAAUUGCAGCGUGGGAGAGGAGGAUAUGACACGCCAUAUCGCAGGGAGCAGAAACACCCCUGUGAUACUGUUCUUCAUAUUCAGGGAGGAAGAGGAUGAUAUUACUCCCAAUACAGACGGGUGUACACCCUCUGUACACCGAGGGUGUACACCCGUCUGUGAAAGAGUUCGUAAUCUCCAGAGGGGGAGAUGAUAUUACUCACAAUAUGGUAAAGAGGCUGUGAGUCCACGGAGGAUCCUCAGAGCCAGCGGGGGAAGAGGGGCUGGCUCUGAGACCUCGCCUCGCUGGGGGUGCCUCCCCCCACUGCGAUGGGGGUCCUAAGAGACAGUGGGGGAAGAGGGGCUGGCUCUGAGACCCCGCCUCGCGUGGGGUGCCUCCCCCCCCUGCGAUGGGGGUCCUAAGGGCCAGUGGGGGAAGAGGGACUGGCUCUGAGACCCCGCCUCGCGGGGGGUGCCUCCCCCCCCUGCGAUGGGGUUCCUAAGGGCCAGUGGGGGAAGAGGGACUGGCUCUGAGACCCCGCCUCGCUGGGGGUGCCUCCCCCCACUGCGAUGGGGGUCCUAAGAGACAGUGGGGGAAGAGGGGCUGGCUCUGAGACCCCGCCUCGCGGGGGGUGCCUCCCCCCCCUGCGAUGGGGGUCCUAAGGGCCAGUGGGCGAAGAGGGGCUGGCUCUGAGACCCCGCCUCGCGGGGGGUGCCUCCCCCCCUGUGAUGGGGGUCCUAAGAGCCAGGAGCAGAAGAGGGGCUGGCUCUCUGUACCCGCCUCGCGGGGGGUGCCUCCCCCCCCCGUGAUGGGGGUCCUAAGAGCCAGAAGGCUUAGAGGGGCUGGCUCUCAGUCCCCGCCUCGUGGGGGGUGCCUCCUCCCCCUGCGACGGGGGUCCUAAAUGCCAGUGGGGAAAGAGGGGCUCGCUCUGAGACCCCGCCUCGCUGGGGGUGCCUCCCCCCACUGCGAUGGGGGUCCUAAGGGCCAGUGGGGAAAGAGGGGCUGGCUCUCAGUCCCCGCCUCGUGGGGGGUGCCUCCUCCCCCUGCGACGGGGGUCCUAAAUGCCAGUGGGGAAAGAGGGGCUGGCUCUGAGACCCCGCCUCGCUGGGGGUGCCUCCUCCCCCUGCGAUGGGGGUCCUAAGAGCCAGGGGGGGAAGAGGGGCUGGCUCUCAGUCCCCGCCGCGCGGGGGGUGCCUCCCCCCCUCGUGAUACGGAUCCGAAGAGCCAGGGGGGGAACGGGGGGAGAGGAUGAUAAUUUCAGCAUCGCAGGCUGUGUUCACCCAGCCUGUUAAAUUGUUAUUAGUAUCCUGAAAGGGAGAGGAUGAUAUUACUCCCCAUAACAGACAGAUAUGACUCCCCAUCGUAGAGCACGAGGUGUACACCCGCCCUGUGAUUUUCUUCCUCAUAUUCAGAGACCGAGAGGUUGAUGUCACUCCCAAUAUCGGAGGAAGUAUACACCCCCGUGUGAGAUGUUCCUUAAUGAUAUUCCACGGCGGAGGGGGUGAUAUGACUACAUUCAUGGCAGAAAGUGGAAACCCCCCCAGGGAUAUUAUUCCCACGAUCCUGGAGGGAAGAAGAUGAUGUUACUUUCAAUAUGACAGAAGGUGGAUGAAGUGGUGGACUGCCCCUCCACACCUGUGGACACGCCCCCACUGAUAUUCCCUCUAAUUGCAGCGUGGGAGAGGAGGAUAUGACACGCCAUAUCGCAGGGAGCAGAAACACCCCUGUGAUACUGUUCUUCAUAUUCAGGGAGGAAGAGGAUGAUAUUACUCCCAAUACAGACGGGUGUACACCCUCUGUACACCGAGGGUGUACACCCGUCUGUGAAAGAGUUCGUAAUCUCCAGAGGGGGAGAUGAUAUUACUCACAAUAUGGUAAAGAGGCUGUGAGUCCACGGAGGAUCCUCAGAGCCAGCGGGGGAAGAGGGGCUGGCUCUGAGACCUCGCCUCGCUGGGGGUGCCUCCCCCCACUGCGAUGGGGGUCCUAAGAGACAGUGGGGGAAGAGGGGCUGGCUCUGAGACCCCGCCUCGCGUGGGGUGCCUCCCCCCCCUGCGAUGGGGGUCCUAAGGGCCAGUGGGGGAAGAGGGACUGGCUCUGAGACCCCGCCUCGCGGGGGGUGCCUCCCCCCCCUGCGAUGGGGUUCCUAAGGGCCAGUGGGGGAAGAGGGACUGGCUCUGAGACCCCGCCUCGCUGGGGGUGCCUCCCCCCACUGCGAUGGGGGUCCUAAGAGACAGUGGGGGAAGAGGGGCUGGCUCUGAGACCCCGCCUCGCGGGGGGUGCCUCCCCCCCCUGCGAUGGGGGUCCUAAGGGCCAGUGGGCGAAGAGGGGCUGGCUCUGAGACCCCGCCUCGCGGGGGGUGCCUCCCCCCCUGUGAUGGGGGUCCUAAGAGCCAGGAGCAGAAGAGGGGCUGGCUCUCUGUACCCGCCUCGCGGGGGGUGCCUCCCCCCCCCGUGAUGGGGGUCCUAAGAGCCAGAAGGCUUAGAGGGGCUGGCUCUCAGUCCCCGCCUCGUGGGGGGUGCCUCCUCCCCCUGCGACGGGGGUCCUAAAUGCCAGUGGGGAAAGAGGGGCUCGCUCUGAGACCCCGCCUCGCUGGGGGUGCCUCCCCCCACUGCGAUGGGGGUCCUAAGGGCCAGUGGGGAAAGAGGGGCUGGCUCUCAGUCCCCGCCUCGUGGGGGGUGCCUCCUCCCCCUGCGACGGGGGUCCUAAAUGCCAGUGGGGAAAGAGGGGCUGGCUCUGAGACCCCGCCUCGCUGGGGGUGCCUCCUCCCCCUGCGAUGGGGGUCCUAAGAGCCAGGGGGGGAAGAGGGGCUGGCUCUCAGUCCCCGCCGCGCGGGGGGUGCCUCCCCCCCUCGUGAUACGGAUCCGAAGAGCCAGGGGGGGAACGGGGGGAGAGGAUGAUAAUUUCAGCAUCGCAGGCUGUGUUCACCCAGCCUGUUAAAUUGUUAUUAGUAUCCUGAAAGGGAGAGGAUGAUAUUACUCCCCAUAACAGACAGAUAUGACUCCCCAUCGUAGAGCACGAGGUGUACACCCGCCCUGUGAUUUUCUUCCUCAUAUUCAGAGACCGAGAGGUUGAUGUCACUCCCAAUAUCGGAGGAAGUAUACACCCCCGUGUGAGAUGUUCCUUAAUGAUAUUCCACGGCGGAGGGGGUGAUAUGACUACAUUCAUGGCAGAAAGUGGAAACCCCCCCAGGGAUAUUAUUCCCACGAUCCUGGAGGGAAGAAGAUGAUGUUACUUUCAAUAUGACAGAAGGUGGAUGAAGUGGUGGACUGCCCCUCCACACCUGUGGACACGCCCCCACUGAUAUUCCCUCUAAUUGCAGCGUGGGAGAGGAGGAUAUGACACGCCAUAUCGCAGGGAGCAGAAACACCCCUGUGAUACUGUUCUUCAUAUUCAGGGAGGAAGAGGAUGAUAUUACUCCCAAUACAGACGGGUGUACACCCUCUGUACACCGAGGGUGUACACCCGUCUGUGAAAGAGUUCGUAAUCUCCAGAGGGGGAGAUGAUAUUACUCACAAUAUGGUAAAGAGGCUGUGAGUCCACGGAGGAUCCUCAGAGCCAGCGGGGGAAGAGGGGCUGGCUCUGAGACCUCGCCUCGCUGGGGGUGCCUCCCCCCACUGCGAUGGGGGUCCUAAGAGACAGUGGGGGAAGAGGGGCUGGCUCUGAGACCCCGCCUCGCGUGGGGUGCCUCCCCCCCCUGCGAUGGGGGUCCUAAGGGCCAGUGGGGGAAGAGGGACUGGCUCUGAGACCCCGCCUCGCGGGGGGUGCCUCCCCCCCCUGCGAUGGGGUUCCUAAGGGCCAGUGGGGGAAGAGGGACUGGCUCUGAGACCCCGCCUCGCUGGGGGUGCCUCCCCCCACUGCGAUGGGGGUCCUAAGAGACAGUGGGGGAAGAGGGGCUGGCUCUGAGACCCCGCCUCGCGGGGGGUGCCUCCCCCCCCUGCGAUGGGGGUCCUAAGGGCCAGUGGGCGAAGAGGGGCUGGCUCUGAGACCCCGCCUCGCGGGGGGUGCCUCCCCCCCUGUGAUGGGGGUCCUAAGAGCCAGGAGCAGAAGAGGGGCUGGCUCUCUGUACCCGCCUCGCGGGGGGUGCCUCCCCCCCCCGUGAUGGGGGUCCUAAGAGCCAGAAGGCUUAGAGGGGCUGGCUCUCAGUCCCCGCCUCGUGGGGGGUGCCUCCUCCCCCUGCGACGGGGGUCCUAAAUGCCAGUGGGGAAAGAGGGGCUCGCUCUGAGACCCCGCCUCGCUGGGGGUGCCUCCCCCCACUGCGAUGGGGGUCCUAAGGGCCAGUGGGGAAAGAGGGGCUGGCUCUCAGUCCCCGCCUCGUGGGGGGUGCCUCCUCCCCCUGCGACGGGGGUCCUAAAUGCCAGUGGGGAAAGAGGGGCUGGCUCUGAGACCCCGCCUCGCUGGGGGUGCCUCCUCCCCCUGCGAUGGGGGUCCUAAGAGCCAGGGGGGGAAGAGGGGCUGGCUCUCAGUCCCCGCCGCGCGGGGGGUGCCUCCCCCCCUCGUGAUACGGAUCCGAAGAGCCAGGGGGGGAACGGGGGGAGAGGAUGAUAAUUUCAGCAUCGCAGGCUGUGUUCACCCAGCCUGUUAAAUUGUUAUUAGUAUCCUGAAAGGGAGAGGAUGAUAUUACUCCCCAUAACAGACAGAUAUGACUCCCCAUCGUAGAGCACGAGGUGUACACCCGCCCUGUGAUUUUCUUCCUCAUAUUCAGAGACCGAGAGGUUGAUGUCACUCCCAAUAUCGGAGGAAGUAUACACCCCCGUGUGAGAUGUUCCUUAAUGAUAUUCCACGGCGGAGGGGGUGAUAUGACUACAUUCAUGGCAGAAAGUGGAAACCCCCCCAGGGAUAUUAUUCCCACGAUCCUGGAGGGAAGAAGAUGAUGUUACUUUCAAUAUGACAGAAGGUGGAUGAAGUGGUGGACUGCCCCUCCACACCUGUGGACACGCCCCCACUGAUAUUCCCUCUAAUUGCAGCGUGGGAGAGGAGGAUAUGACACGCCAUAUCGCAGGGAGCAGAAACACCCCUGUGAUACUGUUCUUCAUAUUCAGGGAGGAAGAGGAUGAUAUUACUCCCAAUACAGACGGGUGUACACCCUCUGUACACCGAGGGUGUACACCCGUCUGUGAAAGAGUUCGUAAUCUCCAGAGGGGGAGAUGAUAUUACUCACAAUAUGGUAAAGAGGCUGUGAGUCCACGGAGGAUCCUCAGAGCCAGCGGGGGAAGAGGGGCUGGCUCUGAGACCCCGCCUCGCUGGGGGUGCCUCCCCCCCACUGCGAUGGGGGUCCUAAGAGACAGUGGGGGAAGAGGGGCUGGCUCUGAGACCCCGCCUCGCGGGGGGUGCCUCCCCCCCCUGCGAUGGGGGUCCUAAGGGCCAGUGGGGGAAGAGGGGCUGGCUCUGAGACCCCGCCUCGCGGGGGGUGCCUCCCCCCCCUGCGAUGGGGGUCCUAAGGGCCAGUGGGGGAAGAGGGGCUGGCUCUGAGACCCCGCCUCGCGGGGGGUGCCUCCCCCCCUGUGAUGGGGGUCCUAAGAGCCAGGAGCAGAAGAGGGGCUGGCUGUCUGUACCCGCCUCGCGGUAGGCGCCUCCCCACCCUUCGAUGGGGUUCCUAAGGGCCCUUGGGGGAAGAGGGGCUGGCUCUGAGACCCCGCCUCGCUGGGGGUGCCUCCCCCCCCUGCGAUGGGGGUCCUACGGGCCAGUGGGGAAGAGGGGCUGGCUGUGAGACCCCGCCUCGCUGGGGGUGCCUCCCCCCUGUUGCGAUGGGGGUCCUAAGAGCCAGUGGGGCAAGAGUGGCUGUGUCUCAGUCACCGCCUCGUGGGGCGUGCCUCCUCCCCCUGCGACGGGGUUCCCAAAGGCCAGUGGGGGAAGAGGGGCUGGCUCUGAGACCCCGCCUCGCUGGGGGUGCCUCCCCCCCCUGCGAUGGGGGUCCUACGGGCCAGUGGGGGAAGAGGGGCUGGCUGUGAGACCCCGCCUCACGGGGGGUGCCUCCCCCCCGCUGCGAUGGGGGUCCUAAGAGCCAGUGGGGCAAGAGUGGCUGUCUCUCAGUCACCGCCUCGUGGGGCGUGCCUCCUCCCCCUGCGAUGCGGUUCCUAAGAGCCAGGGGGGGAAGAGGGGUUGGCUCUGAGUCCCCGCCUCACCGGGGAUGCCUCUCCCCCCUGCGAUGGCGGUCCUAAGAGCCAGGAUCAGAAGAGGGGCUGGCUCUCUGUGCCCGCCUCGCGGGGGGUGCCUCCGCCCCCUGUGAUGGGGGUCCUAAGAGCCAGAAGGGUUAGAGGGGCUGGCUCUGAGACCACGCCUCGCGAGGUGCCUCCCCACCUUGCUAUCGGGGUCCCAAGAGCCAGGGGGGAAGAGGGGCUGGCUCUCUUUGUGGAUGAUUCUUUUUCCAUUCUCGGGCAGUUUUCUUUUUUCUUUCUUUUUUUUUUUUUUGAAACUGAGUCUUGCUCUGUUGCCCAUGCUUUGCUGGAUCUCGGGUGACUGCAACCACUGCCUCCCAGGUUCAAGAGAUUCUCCUGCCUCAGCCUCCUGAGUAGCUGGGACUAGAGGCGUGUGUCACCACACCCAGCUGAUUUUUGUAUUUUUAGUAGAAAUGGGGUUUCACCAUGUUUGCCAGGAUGGUCUCUAUCUCCUGACCUUGUGAUCCACCCACCUCAGCCUCCCAAAGUGCUGGGAUUGCAGGUGCGAGCCACCGGGUCCACCCUCUCAGGCGAUUUUCAUACCUGCAUACUCUGAUCACUACUCUGUUAAACAGUCAACGAGGCUGAGUGCCACGUGCUGACAUCACUAAGAUCAAUACAGCAAACUCUGAAAGAUGGACAGAGAGACAGGAGAUGGUCGUUUAUAAUGCAGUGUGAUCUGUGCUGCAAUAGAGAUGGAAGAGUGUUCUGAUCGGCUGGAAAACAACGCACAUGGGAAGCUGUACAGAAAUGAGUGGGGAAAGUUUUGGAAGCUAGAAGUUCAAAAUGAGGUGUUGGCAGCACCAUGCUCUCUCUGAAGAUGCUAGGAAGAAUCUGCUCCAUGCCUUUCCAUUCGCUUCUGGGGUUUCCUGCAAGCCCUGACAUUCCUUGGCUUGUAGAUGCAUCACCCCAGUUUCCGCCCCCAUCAUCACAUGGCCUCCUCUCUGUGUGUGCCUCUGCGUUCCCUCUAUUCUUCUUCUAAGGACACCGACACCAGUCAUAGUGGAUUAAGGAUCCAGUCCUAACUAAUUACAUCUGCAACAACCCUAUUUCCAAAUAAAGUCACAUUCUAAGAUUCCUAGGGAGAACAUGAAUUUUUGGGGGUGUGUGGAUACUGUUCAACCUGGGACAUGGAGUAAAUAAAUGGCAAGGAAGAUUACAGAUGACUUUAAGCUAAAGAGGGAGAUAGGGUUAAAUGUAGGACUUUUUUUUUUUUUUCCAGGACGGGAGAGGUUUAAACAUGUUACUACAUUGAAUAAAUGAAAUAACCAUGAACAUGGAGUGGCUAAAGAUUCUGAACUAAGUGCAAGUAAUUGAUAGCGCAAGCUCCCAAGGGGCUGGGGCCUGGAGCGCAGAUGGAUGGAUCCACUGUGGGCAGAACUGGGGCGUGGGAGGGGUGUGCCGAUGCAGAUGUGUUUGAGUGUGGGGGGCCAGAAGCUGAUUGGGGUGAAGCGUGACAGUGCAGCUCCAAGCCCGCUGGAGGUGUUCACCAAGCAACUCAAGAGCAGAUGGCAGAACGAGCAGCUGAAAUAACAGCUUGUGAAAUCAACCCUACUUUGUGGGGAGAGGAUUGGUUAAGGAUUCUAGCCAUGAGAACCAAGAAGAGGAGGAUAAUCUGUUCAUGCCUAUUAUGGGGCUUUGGGGGAGCAGUUUCAGCCUCAACCUGGAGAAUGUUUUAGAAGGCCAGAGAAAGGAACCCUGCAAAUCACGUGAGCUGGCCCCUCACUUUGAGAUGAAGUGUCCAUACAGCAGUAACGCCACCCUCUGUAGUGGUUCUAGAGUGUGGCAAUCUGGAGGGGUCAUUAUGGAAAAGGGCUGAAGCAUAAGAAUGUAGGCCCAAUACUGAGAUAGAGGAUUCUCUGAGAUGACUUAGGCAGGGUGAUGGUGGUGGAGGUGGGUGUAAGAAGCCCUCUGCUGCCUCAGUCCGAGCAUGGAAUUCAAUUGAUCAAGAGCAGAGCCAAUCACAAUUUAGGCCCCCUUGUUAGCCUUAAUUUAUUCCUCAGGUAUGGAGAAUACUCCUCAAGAUGCAUUCAGAGUGUAAGCUACCUCUUCCUCAGCAGAGGACUGCCCUGCAGGUUUGCAGGUCUGUCAUUUGGAAACUCCCUGAUGUGUCCCUUGGCUCUUCCCAUUCUUUUGCUUCAACACAUUUCAAGACCAGGCACCUUAACUGCAGAAACAGCAUGAAAAACAACUUUCUCUCUAAAAUGGAAGAUCUAUGAGAACAAGAACCUGUCUGCUCAUUGAGGUGUUACUCUAGAAAAAUGUCUGGCCCAUAGCAGGUGCUUAAUCAACAAUUUUUGAAGGAAAAGUGGAGGAAAAAAGAUGGGAGAAAGCAAACUC